UACGUAGGGGGCAAGCGUUGUCCGGAUUUAUUGGGCGUAAAGAGCGUGUAGGCGGUCUGGUAGGUCCGUUGUGAAAACUCGAGGCUCAACCUCGAGACGCCGAUGGAAACCAUCAGACUAGAGUCCGGAAGAGGAGAGUGGAAUUCCCGGUGUAGCGGUGAAAUGCGUAGAGAUCGGGAGGAACACCUGCGGCGAAAGCGGCUCACUGGACCAUAACUGACGCUGAUGCACGAAAGCUAGGGGAGCAAACAGG
rnacentral:rRNA from 1 species